ACAAACUUGGUCAUUUAGAGGAAGUAAAAGUCGUAACAAGGUCUCCGUUGGUGAACCAGCGGAGGGAUCAUUACCGAGUUUACUUACAACUCCCAAACCCCUGUGAACAUACCCAUCGUUGCCUCGGCGGCGCCCCCCCCCGGGGGGACCGCCAGAGGACCCCCAAACUCUUUGUUUUACGAAAAUGUGGUCGUUGCGAUUUUUCCUGCCGCGCGCAGUGAAGGAAAUCAAAUCAAAACUUUCAACAACGGAUCUCUUGGCUCUGGCAUCGAUGAAGAACGCAGC
rnacentral:misc_RNA from 1 species